rnacentral:rRNA from 1 species
UACGUAGGGGGCCAGCGUUGUCCGGAUUCAUUGGGCGUAAAGCGCGUGUAGGCGGCCAGGUAGGUCCGAUGUGAAAUCUGGAGGCUCAACCUCCAGCGGUCAUUGGAAACCAUCUGGCUAGAGUCCGGAAGAGGAGAGUGGAAUUCCUGGUGUAGCGGUGAAAUGCGCAGAUAUCAGGAAGAACACCAAUGGCGAAGGCGGCUCUCUGGGACGGUACUGACGCUGAGACGCGAAAGCGUGGGGAGCGAACAGG